rnacentral:rRNA from 1 species
UACAGAGGUCUCAACCGUUGUUCGGAUUCAUUGGGCGUAAAGAGCGUGUAGGCGGCCAGGCAGGUCUGUUGUGAAAACUGGAGGCUCAACUUCCAGACGUCGACAGAAACCGCUUGGCUAGAGUCCGGAAGAGGAGAGUGGAAUUCCUGGUGUAGCGGUGGAAUGCGCAGAUAUCAGGAGGAACACCUAAGGCGAAGGCAGCUCGCUGGAACGGUACUGACGCUGAGGCGCGAAAGCGUGGGGAGCAAACAGG